GUUUCCGUAGUGUAGUGGUUAUCACGUUUGCCUAACAUGCAAAAGGUCCUCAGUACGAAACUGGGCGGAAACA
rnacentral:tRNA from 1 species